rnacentral:ncRNA from 1 species
GAAAUCCCGCCUGGGUAAGUGCUAGCCACACGCCCAGUAUCGAGUGUUGCAGCCGAAGUAUAAGGGCCCAAAGCAAUUGUCUGCUGUCGCAGGUGGUUCCCCGAAGUCUUCGAUUGAAGCGUACACAGAGAGGUAGUGAGGAUGAAUGGAUCACAGGUGGCCCUGUGACCGUGAACGGGAUUAGCUCCGAAAUUAGGUACCUGUUGGAUUCUGCCCAAGGUUUGUUCACGCCCCAAGGCAACACUUCACGACGCGUCAUUGGCGAGCCUCGUGAAGAGACCUGGAGUCGGCGCCCC